rnacentral:rRNA from 11 species
UUGAGAGUUUGAUCCUGGCUCAGAACGAACGCUGGCGGCAUGCCUAACACAUGCAAGUCGAACGAAGGCCCUAGCUUGCUAGGUGUCCUUAGUGGCGAACGGGUGAGUAACGCGUGGGAACCUGCCCUAGAGUGGGGAACAACCUUUGGAAACGAAGGCUAAUACCGCAUACGCUCUGAGGAGGAAAGGCUUCGGCCGCUCUUGGAUGGUCCCGCGUCUGAUUAGCUUGUUGGUGGGGUAACGGCCUACCAAGGCGACGAUCAGUAGCUGGUCUGAGAGGAUGAUCAGCCACACUGGAACUGAGACACGGUCC